ACGCUGGCGGCGUGCCUAACACAUGCAAGUCGAACGGUAACAGUCCUUCGGGAGCUGACGAGUGGCGCACGGGUGAGUAACGCGUGGAUAUCUGCCUAUUAGUGGGGGACAACUACAGGAAACUGUAGCUAAUACCGCAUAAUCUCUACGGAGGAAAGCAGGGGACCUUUCGGGGCCUUGCGCUGAUAGAUGAGUCCGCGUCAGAUUAGCUAGUUGGUAAGGUAAUGGCUUACCAAGGCGAUGAUCUGUAACUGGUUUGAGAGGAUGAUCAGUCACACUGGAACUGAGACACGGUCCAGACUCCUACGGGAGGCAGCAGUGGGGAAUAUUGCACAAUGGGGGAAACCCUGAUGCAGCGACGCCGCGUGCGGGAAGAAGGCCUUCGGGUUGUAAACCGCUUUCAAUUGGGAAGAAGAGAUGAGAGUUAAUAACUCUCUGAUUUGACGGUACCUUUAGAAGAAGCACCGGCUAAUUUCGUGCCAGCAGCCGCGGUAAUACGAAAGGUGCAAGCGUUGUUCGGAUUUACUGGGCGUAAAGAGAUCGUAGGUGGUUUAUUAAGUCGGAUGUGAAAUCCCGGGGCUCAACCCCGGAACUGCAUUCGAUACUGAUAGGCUAGAGUUUGGGAGGGGUAAGCGGAAUUCCGUGUGUAGCAGUGAAAUGCGUAGAUAUACGGAGGAACACCUGAGGCGAAGGCGGCUUACUGGACCAAUACUGACACUGAGGAUCGAAAGCGUGGGUAGCAAACAGGAUUAGAUACCCUGGUAGUCCACGCCCUAAACGAUGUCAACUAGCCGUUGCGGGUAUCGACCCCUGCAGUGGCGAAGCUAACGCGAUAAGUUGACCGCCUGGGGAGUACGGUCGCAA
rnacentral:rRNA from 1 species